GAUGAACGCUGGCGGCGUGCCUAACACAUGCAAGUCGAGCGGACAGAUGAGGAUCUUGCUUCUCUUACGUUUGCGGCGGACGCGUGAGUCACAUGUGGAUGACCUUCCUUUAUGACUGGCAUUACUUCGCGAAACCGGUGCCUACACCGGAUAAUCUAUUGAACCCCAUGGUUCAAUAGUUCAAGACGGUUUUGCUGUCACUUAUACCUGUUUUCCCGCCCAAUUAGCUAGUUGGUAAGUAAACGGCCUACCCAGUCUACGAUGCGUAGCAGACCUGAGAGGAUGAUCAGCCACACUGGAACUGAGACACGGUCCAGACUCCUACGGGAGGCAGCAGUAGGUAAUCUUCCGCAAUGGGAGGAAGCCUGACGGAGCCAUGCCGCGUGAGUGAUGAAGGUCUUCGGAUCGUAAAGCUCUUUUAUUAGGGAAGAACAAAUGUGUAAGUAUACAUGCACGUCUUGACGGUACCUAAUAAAAAAGCCCCGGCUAACUCCGUG
rnacentral:rRNA from 1 species